rnacentral:tRNA from 1 species
GGUGACGCUGGUGGACGCCGGGCCCUUCUGGUCGGCGUUGUCGACGGCGACGACCGCGUAGCGGUAGGUGGUGUCGUUCUGCGCGGCGGCGUCGGUG